AUUGGUACAGUAUAUAUGGAACUGCCAUAUGGCAGAUAGGUGGGUUUGAAACCAGGAAAGGCCGGCCUAUAAUAAAUAAAUGCUAGCGAAGCCUGACAUAUAAAUCAGGCUGUGAAGGUACCUAAUGAAGUGGCUGUUGUCAACUGCCUAAUAAACCACUUAUAUCCCCAACCAUGGUUUCCCAAGACAAAGUUAGAUCUGACAAACUGACAAACACGCACUGGAAUUGACAUAUAGUUUCGGGGCUGCUUGUCACCCCAAUGACAGAGCAAAGCUGAAAUAAUGAACCUGACUUUGACAUUAAAACUUGACUUGACAAAAUCUGUGCACAGACAAAAAUAACAUGGCUUGAGGUAUUACCUAUUGCAUUAAUGUCUAUUCGCUCUUCUGUUAACAGGAUUUCUGGUUUCACAUCCUUUGAAUUGCUUACAGGUCGACAGUUUCCAGGCCCACGGAAAGCCUUGGUGCAGGAUAUAAUCCUGCCACUAACUGAUGCUGUUUAUCUUUACAAACUAACUGCUAUGAUUAAACGUUUUUCCUGCCAGGCUACCACACAACGAAAUUGGGACAACGACUAAGCUGUUACAAAUGAUGAUUGAGUGAAAGUGAAGGUGUUCAGACGGUGCUGGGCCGAACCGAGACGGUCCAGGCUACCGAGAACAGGUCUCUCACAGAAACCGGUGUGGACCUGAGGACUCAGGUCCAAGAGAGGGAGAGUGUUGAAAGUGAAAGUAAAUCAGCUGGAAUACAGAGAGAACAAACAGGAAGUGAAACAUCAGGGGUAACACUCACACAACACCAACAACAAAGUCAACAAACACUCUGUAAAAUUGUGCAUAAAAAAGGUGACAUUUUUUCUAGCCCAGCAACAGAACCUUUAGCACACUGCAUAGAUUGUGCCUAUGGAGCAGGUAUAGCCGUACAAUUCAAAGCAAAGUACGGUACACAAAAGGUUGUAAGACAGAACAAACACACAGGUGAAUGUGCAGUUACCCAUGAGGACGACGGCAGAUUGAUUUUUCAUUUAAUAACAAAACAAAACUGUACUGAUUUACCAACAUAUGAUAAUUUUACCCACAGCCUCAGAUGUAUGAGAGAGUGGUGUGAGAAAGAAAACAUAACAAGUGUAUCCACUCCCCGGCUGGGGUGUGGCCUGGAUAAAGUGGAUUUCCACAAAGUCAAAGUGCUGGAAAUCCUGACAGAAGUGUUCAGGGACCUGAACAUCACAAUUACUGUUUAUUCAUUAUAACCUGGGUAGCUACAUAUCAUAUUGACCUUUGAAUUUCUUAAGUUUCUUAUAUAAUCUUACAUUUCAAUGUUUCCUUUUGAAUUUAAUUUCUAAGUUUCUUAUAAAAUUUUACAGUAUUAAUUUUACAUUUUACUUUUUCCUUUUUGAACUUACGAUUGUUAUUUGAGUAUUAGCCAAUAGGAAUAAGUGUAUUUUUUUUCACAGAGAUGAAGCUAUAUGGAAAUUGGAAGAUUCUGUGGGCCCUAGGGGUUAUAGCUGCAAUUAUAAUUACCAUGAUAUUUGGCAUAAAUAAUGGAGGUAAUCUAAAAAAUGACAAAAGGUCUAAAACUACAUCACAAGAUUCAUGUGUACAGAGAUAUGGGGGAAUUGAAUUAAAUUACACAAAAAAAAAAAAUUCAACUACAUCAUACACCUUUGAUUUAUGAACAUCUAUAGUGGUCUCAAUUGGAGUAUUUGUGGCCAUAAUGGUCACUUGUGGAUGUUGUUGUAUCCCCUGUCUCAGAUCCCUGUGUAACAGGCUGAUAGUGUCUGCAAUAGAGAAAAAAGAAAAUCCACCCCCAUACAGUAUGCCCCUAUUAGGCCUUCAGAACCUAGAGGAUGAUGAGGAGGAACAAGUGUGACCUCUUUCAGAGGUCAAGAGAGGGAAUUGUGGGAUUUUAAUGUCAUAUGUUUUAUUAAUAUUGUAUUUAGAAGUGUUUUCAAUAAUCAUUAUAGUAUGCUGAAGUAAAAGAUUGUUUGUGUUUGUCUGAGAGAGUGGAAAGUUACUGAGAGGAAGCAGCCUCUGUGUUUGCAAAAGUUACAAGGUCGUGGUUGGAUUAGUGAGGAAUUUGCAGGUGGCAACGGUCGAGAUAAAGAGCGAGGCUUAAAGAAGAAAAGCAGACAAAUAACCAUGUUAUUAACCAAUGUUUUAAUAUUCACAGGAUAAAAUAUGCAAUGUAUUUCCUACUUAAUCAGUAUUAAUCAUUGAAUAAUUGAUGUAAUAAAUAUAAAAUGUUGUCUUUGAUAAAUGUGUAUUAACCAAUGAAAUGAAGGUUGUAUACAGAAUAACCUAAUGGAGACAUGGCAGCUUAACCUUGAAGAACAGAACCUCCUGUGUUUGUUCUUUGUGUGUGUAUCAUUUCUUCCCUAACAGAUUGGGUGUGGUGAUGGAGUCAGAUGUACGAGGGGAACGGCCUUUGUGGGUGGAGAUUCUAAGAAGAAAGAUCGACGUCAUAUAUUUUAUAAAUAUGCAUGUUAUUUUUUGAGCUGGUUGUUCAUUGCUUGAGAUGACCCAGCGCUGUAAAACUUUUUCAUAUCUGAUCAAUAAAUAACUUAAUUUUAA